rnacentral:rRNA from 1 species
UACGAAGGGGGCUAGCGUUGCUCGGAAUCACUGGGCGUAAAGCGCACGUAGGCGGCUUUCUAAGUCAGGGGUGAAAUCCUGGAGCUCAACUCCAGAACUGCCUUUGAUACUGGAGAGCUUGAGUCCGGAAGAGGUGAGUGGAACUCCGAGUGUAGAGGUGAAAUUCGUAGAUAUUCGGAGGAACACCAGUGGCGAAGGCGGCUCACUGGUCCGGUACUGACGCUGAGGUGCGAAAGCGUGGGGAGCAAACAGGGAU